rnacentral:snRNA from 1 species
AUACUUGCUUUGGCAGCACAUAUACUAAAAUUGGGAACGAUACAGAGAUUAGCAUGGCCCCUGUGCAAGGAUGACACACAAAUUCGUGAAACGUUCCAUAAUUUU